UAAUAAAGCCUUUUAUUCGCAUAAUAGA
rnacentral:sRNA from 1 species